rnacentral:rRNA from 1 species
GACGAACGCUGGCGGCGUGCCUAAUACAUGCAAGUAGGACGCAGUUGCGAACGGGUGAGUAACGCGUAGGUAACUACCUAUUAGAGGGGGAUAACUAUUGGAAACGAUAGCUAAUACCGCAUACUAGUAGAUGGACCUGCGGUGUAUUAGGUAGUAGGUAGGGUAAUGGCCUACCUAGGCAACGAUACAUAGCCGACCUGAGAGGGUGAUCGGGCACAAUGGGACUGGGACACGGGCCAGACUCCUACGGGAGGCAGCAGUAGGGAAUCUUCGGCAAUGGGGGGAAACCUUAACGAGGAACGCCGGGGGAGUUGAGAAGGGUUUCGGAUCGUAAAGCUCUGUUGUGAAGGGAGCGGUACUUAACCAGAAAGGGACGGCUAACUACGUGCCAGCAGCCGCGGUAAUUC